UCUACGAAUUGAAGAUUUCAAGGGCAUGUUUGUUGGACUGUAUAAUGGCAAUAUUGAUUAAUAACCCGAUGUAAUCUGUAUGUUUGGUGCCUUGGGUAUGCUUCUCACGAAGCCCAGGAAAAGGGCUUGGCUCGGUCAAAUAUCACUAUUCAAUCAGGCUUACCCAGCCGCCCACUCCCCUCCAAUACAGUUUCCAGCCUGCAUCGAAAUUUGAAAACUUUCUAAAUUUCCCUUCGUUCUUUCCAUUCAAAAUUCUCCUUUUUGAAAUCACGCAGCGCCUUUUUGAAAUUUUGGUUUCCACGAAAAAUCUCUUCAUCUUUGAAGCCGAGCGCCGCUCCAGACAGAAUUAUCGGAAGGAAUGAGCGUUCCAGAAGCUCUAAUCUUUGAGACACCACUGCUACCGGGACGCCAUUAUUGUUGCUGAAAAACUUGAUGUAUUAACGUGAUAUGAUUUCCAUUGUUGUUGCUUAUUUCAUAUGGCUGAUUCUGGAAUUUAGUUGUCGUAUUUCAUGAACUGAUUAGAUUAGGCUUACAAUUGUGGUUAAAUUUGUGGGUCAAAUACUGCAGAUUGGGGGUAAUUUGAUCACAUUUGGUCUGUCAUGUCUGGGGGGGAGGUAUCCGCGAAUCUGAAGUCGUAUAUAUGCUCCUGCGGGAAGUGAUGCGUCACCAUUUGAUUCAAUUAGCUAUAGUUGUUGUGUAUGUUGGUAAACUAACCUCAAGAAAAAGAAGGAGUGUAGGGCCAGCUUCUACAUAUGGCAAGAUCUCGCGUAUGCCUGCUCAGGUUAGGCACUUAGAAAGACUAAUUGGUGAAAAUGAUAUAGACUGUAUUUCAAACCUUCGAAUGGACCAUAAUACCUUUGGUCGAAUGUGUCAUAUACUAAGGGAUAGGGGGGAUUACUGGAUGGGGAUUAUGUUCUCGUGGAGGAACAGGUUGCGAUGUUUCUCUCGGUUCUAGCCCACCACAAAAAGAAUAGAGUAGUAGGCUUUGAUUUUUGGCGGUCAGGACAAACAAUAUCACAUUACGUGCACGCGGUAUUGGGUGCUGUUCUGCGUUUACACGAGACAUUUUUAGCAAAACCCGAAGCUGUUAGAGAUGAUUGCACAGACGCAAGGUGGCAAUGGUUCAAGGGUUUUUUAGGAGCUUUGGAUGGCACAUACGUGAAUGUUUUGGUUAGCAAUACGGACAAGCCGAGAUACAGGACAAGGAAAUGUGAAAUCUCCACAAAUAUUUUAGCCGUUUGUGAUAGGAACUUGCAAUUUGUUUAUGCUUUGUCUGGAUGGGAAAGCUCAGCGUCAGAUAGUAGGAUCUUACGAGAUGCUUUAAACAGGCCCCACGGCUUGAAAGUGCCCAUGGGGAAUUAUUAUUUGGCAGACAAUGGUUACGCAAAUUGCGAGGGAUUUCUUACCCCGUUCAAGGGAGUUCGAUACCACUUGAAGGAGUGGGGACCCUUGGCUGCCCGUCCACAAAAUAAGGAGGAGCUCUUUAAUCUUAGGCAUAGCAAGGCACGGAAUGUAAUCGAAAGGACUUUCGGAAUACUUAAGAUGCGAUGGGGAAUUCUCAGAUCUAAUACGUUCUAUCCUAUAAACAUCUAAAACAGAUUAAUAAUGUCGUGUUUUUUUAUUAAAUAAUUUCAUUCGUAAGGAGAUGACGGUUGACCCAGUGGAGCUUCAAUUUGAUUCGAUGGAUGAGCCCAAUGAUGGUGUAGGGGCUGAUCACGAGGAGUUUGUACAGACGACUGAGUCUUCACCUCAAUGGAAUGCGAAGAGGGAAGAAUUAGCAGACGAAAUGUGGUUGCAAUAUUUAAAUACUAAUUAGGAUGGCUUCUAGUUCGGAAGUAUCGGCUAACACCCCACUUUGCAGCUGCCGCAAAUAUAGAAUGCGUCUGUCGUGUGCUGGUCCUGGUUCCAUGAAUCCGGGACGCUAUUACUACAAGUGUCCUAGUGGUAUCCCGCACAAUAAGGACUUUAUGUGGUGGGAUGAGUACCAUGGUAUCGUGAAUCGUAUUCCGCAGCAGAACCGUAUGCCCGCCGUAUCUGGAGCUGGGCUGGAGUUGGAAAACAGCCGUGGUGAAUUUCAUCCACCUCGUGGCUAUCUGGAGCUUCACUUCAAAAUUCUGAUGUUGUCCGUUUUGUUGCUGGUGACUGGUUUUUUCAUGGGCAAGUUCAUGUAGGGAUCUGUUAGGUGUUAGGUUUUAAUUUGUUGUGUCAAAAAAUUGUGUGGAUACUUUGGUGAAUGCAUUUUGGCUCUAGAAUGUGUGAUAUAUAAUUAUGAUGUUUUAGGCA